CAACGUUCUUCAAAAGGAGGUUAGAUUUAUAACCUUUUGCGGGAAAUCGUCUACCAAUCUAACACGAAAAUAAACAGUUUUCAGAUGAAAAGUUGAUGUACUGGAGACAGAUUGGUCAGCCAGUGAAAGAUGUUCUGUUGGUAUUGAGAAUAAAUGGAAUUCUAGCCAGACACAGGACAUCUACUUACCUGUCCAUGUGGAAGUGAGUGUAGUUGUUAUAGUUUCUGUUGAGCAGCAGAAUUAAUAAUUGAACUUAAAUCAGAUCCUGGAAAUCUACUGACAAGAUCCAGUGUCUAGGUGACAUUGACUGGUUGGAAUAGUAGUCUAGUGAGUAGUGGUAACAGAACUAAAUCAAGACACUAGACAUGUACGGACCUCCAUCAUGUCUUGGUGGAAGUGACUGCGGCUGGAAUAGUUGUCAAGUGAGCAGCAGGAAUUGAACUCAAGUCAGCAACUGGACCUGUACUUACCUCCAACUUGUUGAGGUGGAAGUGACUGCGGCUGGGAUAGUUGUCAAGUCAAGAAUUACCAGCCAAGUCUUGGCAGUGUCAGAAAGUGACUUUGUUAAAACCAGUUAAUUUAUAAAAUGGCAACAAGUUCUCAGUCUUCAGUUGAGCUGGGUUCGCAUGAAGUGAAGGACUAUAUUUGUAAUGCCUGUGAAGACCAGAAUAAUGUUGAGACAAGUGCUGAUUUCUAUUGUAAACAGUGUGAACGGUUUUAUUGUGGAAACUGUAUUGAUCCACAUGGUAAAGUCUUUUCUAAACAUACUACAUUUGGAAGGGUCGAAAUAGAUAAUUGGCCAGUUUCAAAAAAGGUGGUGGAUUUUCUACAAACUUGUGAUGUUCAUAAGGAUCAUAAAAUUGACCAAUUCUGCAACCUGCAUGAACAGCUGUGCUGCCCACAGUGUGUAUCUGAUCA